UCCCCCUUAUGUUGGAAUAGCUGA
rnacentral:siRNA from 1 species